CGUAGGGUGCGAGCGUUAAUCGGAAUUACUGGGCGUAAAGCGUGCGCAGGCGGUGAUGUAAGACAGAUGUGAAAUCCCCGGGCUCAACCUGGGAACUGCAUUUGUGACUGCAUCGCUGGAGUGCGGCAGAGGGGGAUGGAAUUCCGCGUGUAGCAGUGAAAUGCGUAGAUAUGCGGAGGAACACCGAUGGCGAAGGCAAUCCCCUGGGCCUGCACUGACGCUCAUGCACGAAAGCGUGGGGAGCAAACAGGAUUAGAUACCCUGGUAGUCCACGCCCUAAACGAUGUCAACUGGUUGUUGGUCCUUCACUGGAUCAGUAACGAAGCUAACGCGAGAAGUUGACCGCCUGGGGAGUACGGCCGCAAGGUUG
rnacentral:rRNA from 1 species